GCCUCAGUGGCCUAAAGGAUAAGGCACUGGCUUUUCGGGCCAGAGGUCGUGGGUUCAAAUCCCACCUGGGGCU